GGAACGGAACAGAACAGAACAGAACAGUGCCCGGGCCGAGGGACAAAGGGGGAUAGGGCCUGGCAGCAGCUGGGACAGCAAGAGCCACGCCCAGGGUCCGUGGGAAGCAGAGGGCUCGGCCUGUGCUUUGCCGGUGGCUUUUUUUUGUUCUCAUCUAUGUCCCUCCUCAUCUUGUCCAUCGCCCGUUUUACCCCUUGCCCAGUGUUUAUACGGUCAGUCCACGAAAACCGUCGGGUUGUGCUAAACAAAACAUGUGGCUUGUGGAAGUGAAGAAUUGAGACAGAGCUGGAGGAGCAGAGCCUGUUCCCCGCAACGAGUCUGCAAAGCGACGGAUACCCACUGCCACUAAAAAUGAGGGGAAACUAAGAUGAAACUUUACCUCCAUAGAGAACUGGAUGCUGUCAUAUGGUCCUGUAUUCCUGUCAUCUCCCAUUCUAUAAUUCUGAGUAUCUGCAGACUAUUUGGAAGUAUGCUAUUUUGAUAGGUGCUUAUUACUUCAACUAGGACUGGUUAGUUUCUGGUGUGAUUCCUGUUUAUAAUUCUCAGGUUUCUUCUUUGCCCAUGGUGUCAUUUUAAAAUGAUAUUUGAAUAGUGAAAAGAUUUGUUAGAGAACAUGAGCACUGCAGAUAGAUACUGUUUAAAGCUAGGCUAGAGCAGAGGGAGCAUGAUGCUAAUUUCCCGUGACAACUAACUUGUCCAAACAAGCAGUGGAUAAGUGCCUGGACAUGUCUGUUAGCCAAAUACAGAUUCUCAGCAACCAUUGCACCUUGUAAAAAUUCCAGCAGUGGUUUGAAUCUAUAUAUUUGUGUGAUGAUGGAUUUUCAAGAUGAGUUUGUUAUCCCAAAGCUCAAGGUCUAGUGAGGAACAGCCAAGAAGCUGCCAGAAUUUUGCAGGGUGUGCUCUCUUCCUCUUAGAACUGGAAUUUCAAGGCAAACAGAAAUCUGGUUUAAGUGGAAAGUCCUGCUAUAGGCAAAGUCAGGUUAUCUGCUGCUUUCCACCCAGUAUUCCAGUUCCUCAGAUCCUUAGCUUCAUCAUUAGGAGGAAAUUCCAUCUACACAAAAAUGCUAGAGGAUCUAACCCAAUGGCUACGCUCAGUUGAUGUGACAUUGAACAGCAGUAUUAUUGAUGCUCAGUCUUGUCCUGAUGUGGCAUGAAGGGCAUUUAAUUCCUAUACAAAAUGCUUUUCCUGAACUGAAGCAAAACAAACCCAAAGUGUUUAUGUCCUUCUCCCAAGACUGUAUCACAUUAUUGAGCCAUGUCUUAAGCAUAGUGUCAUUUUGCUAAGGGUUGCGUGGAAAUUAAUGUGCCUUUUAAAUUAACAAUAAAUUUUCUACUGUGCAGGACUUCCAAA